UGGGGAAUUUUGGACAAUGGGCGCAAGCCUGAUCCAGCCAUUCCGCGUGCAGGAUGAAGGCCCUCGGGUUGUAAACUGCUUUUGUACGGAACGAAACGGCGACCGCUAAUACCGGUUGCUAAUGACGGUACCGUAAGAAUAAGCACCGGCUAACUACGUGCCAGCAGCCGCGGUAAUACGUAGGGUGCGAGCGUUAAUCGGAAUUACUGGGCGUAAAGCGUGCGCAGGCGGUGAUGUAAGACAGAUGUGAAAUCCCCGGGCUCAACCUGGGAACUGCAUUUGUGACUGCAUCGCUGGAGUGCGGCAGAGGGGGAUGGAAUUCCGCGUGUAGCAGUGAAAUGCGUAGAUAUGCGGAGGAACACCGAUGGCGAAGGCAAUCCCCUGGGCCUGCACUGACGCUCAUGCACGAAAGCGUGGGGAGCAAACAG
rnacentral:rRNA from 1 species